rnacentral:sRNA from 1 species
UACCUCGGACCGGGCCGGAGCCCAAAAA